rnacentral:rRNA from 1 species
ACCCGAGGGGGGGCCUUGGGAAAGAUUGUCCGAUUUUUGAUAAGCUGGAAGUUCGGACGGGUAAUACCGCAAGGCGUUCGAUCAAAGAACUCAAAUAGACGCGGCUAUUAAGUAGAAAGGCGUAACAAGGUUUCCGUAGGUGAACCUGCGGAAGGAUCAUUACUGAUUUGCUUAAUUGCACCACAUGUGUUUUUUAUUGAACAAAUUUCUUUGGUGGCGGGAGCAAUCCUACCGCCAGAGGUUAUAACUAAACCAAACUUUUUAUUUACAGUCAAACUUGAUUUAUUAUUACAAUAGUCAAAACUUUCAACAACGGAUCUCUUGGUUCUCGCAUCGAUGAAGAACGCAGCGAAAUGCGAUACGUAAUAUGAAUUGCAGAUAUUCGUGAAUCAUCGAAUCUUUGAACGCACAUUGCGCCCUUUGGUAUUCCAAAGGGCAUGCCUGUUUGAGCGUCAUUUCUCCCUCAAACCCCCGGGUUUGGUGUUGAGCAAUACGCUAGGUUUGUUUGAAAGAAUUUAACGUGGAAACUUAUUUUAAGCGACUUAGGUUUAUCCAAAAACGCUUAUUUUGCUAGUGGCCACCACAAUUUAUUUCAUAACUUUGACCUCAAAUCAGGUAGGACUACCCGCUGAACUUAAGCAUAUCAAUAAGCGGAGG